rnacentral:lncRNA from 1 species
UCAAUAAGGAUUCGUGAAAAGGCGAAAUGAAUCCUGCCUUAAACACUUACCAGCUUUGUGUCACUGGACCAGUUUGCCUCAGUUUCCUCAUCUGUCAAACGGGAGGGUGAGAUUUAGUGGCCUCCAAGGUCUUUUCCAAUUCUGAACCUAUCUAGAGAUCUUUAAGCUGUACAAAGCACCUUACAUCCUUAAACAGAACCACCUGUGAGGUGUGGACGAGGAUUGUCCCAAUUUUACACCUGAAAAAACGAAGACGGAAAAGUUCAGAGACUCGCUGUCUUGUGGCAACUGAGGAAGAAUUUGAAUCCUCCAUCCAGAUUCCAGGAGAGCAGCUGCUUCUGGGAGAUGAGAGGCAUCUUUGAAAGGCAACGGCAGGACCACUUCUUAGAAGCCAACAUAGGAUCUCAGGGCUCUGAGGUCUCUGGACAAUUCAUUUCACGUCUCUGCUUCUAAAAUGAGGAGGUUGGACUCGGUGGUACCUCAGGUUCCGUUCAGCUCCAAGUCUCUGAUUCUGGUAUCAAAGCCCUGCCUACCCUUCAAGGCUUCUGUUUCCUGAGAUUGACCAUCAAGGGUAGCAGAACCUGGGCUCCGUCCAGGCUGUCUAACACAGGAUCUGUGUGACUUUGUGGAAGUCGCUUUGACUCUCUGGGCCACUUUCCCCAUCUAGAAAAUGAAAGGGUCGAAUCAAAUGACAUCAAAGAUCCAUUCCAGCUUCAAGUCUCUGAAUGGAGAAUGGUCUGCUGGGACCUUCAGGCUU